UACGAAGGGGGCUAGCGUUGCUCGGAAUCACUGGGCGUAAAGGGCGCGUAGGCGGCACUGUUAGUCAGGCGUGAAAGUCCUGGGCUCAACCUGGGAACUGCGCUUGAUACGGCAGAGCUAGAGGAUGGAAGAGGCUCGCGGAAUUCCCAGUGUAGAGGUGAAAUUCGUAGAUAUCGGGAGGAACACCGGUGGCGAAGGCGGCGACCUGGGUCGAUACUGACGCUGAGGUGCGAAAGCGUGGGGAGCAAACAGG
rnacentral:rRNA from 1 species